GAUGAACGCAGGCGGCGUGCCUAAUACAUGCAAGUCGAGCGAACGGACGAGAAGCUUGCUUCUCUGAUGUUAGCGGCGGACGGGUGAGUAACACGUGGAUAACCUACCUAUAAGACUGGGAUAACUUCGGGAAACCGGAGCUAAUACCGGAUAAUAUUUUGAACCGCAUGGUUCAAAAGUGAAAGACGGUCUUGCUGUCACUUAUAGAUGGAUCCGCGCUGCAUUAGCUAGUUGGUAAGGUAACGGCUUACCAAGGCAACGAUGCAUAGCCGACCUGAGAGGGUGAUCGGCCACACUGGAACUGAGACACGGUCCAGACUCCUACGGGAGGCAGCAGUAGGGAAUCUUCCGCAAUGGGCGAAAGCCUGACGGAGCAACGCCGCGUGAGUGAUGAAGGUCUUCGGAUCGUAAACCUCUGUUAUUAGGGAAGAACAUAUGUGUAAGUAACUGUGCACAUCUUGACGGUACCUAAUCAGAAAGCCACGGCUAACUACGUG
rnacentral:rRNA from 1 species